rnacentral:rRNA from 1 species
ACCUCCAGCAUAAAAAGUAUUGGAGGCACCGCCUGCCCUGUGACUUUAUGUUUAACGGCCGCGGUAUACUGACCGUGCAAAGGUAGCAUAAUCAUUUGUUCUUUAAAUAAGGACUUGUAUGAAUGGCUGAACGAAGAUUCAACUGUCUCUUGCUUCCAAUCUGUGAAAUUGACCUCCCUGUGAAAAGGCAGGGAUGACGUAAUAAGACGAGAAGACCCUGUGGAGCUUUAAUUAACUAGCCAAUGCAACUUAAAUAUAAACUUCAACAGAAGACAACAACAAUGCUCAUUGACUAGCAAUUUUGGUUGGGGUGACCUCGGAGUAAAAAAUAACCUCCGAAUGAUUAUAGCCCAGACACACCUGUCUAAGUAAAACUUCAUUAAUUGACCCAAAUAAGUUGAUCAAUGGAACAAGUUACCCCAGGGAUAACAGCGCAAUCCUAUUCUAGAGUUCAUAUCGACAAUAGGGUUUACGACCUCGAUGUUGGAUCAGGACACCCAAAUGGUGUAACCGCUAUUAAUGGUUCGUUUGUUCAACGAUUAAAGUC